AUGGCAAGAUCAAAUCUUUUAUUAGUCGCUGGCUGCUUCCCUGUGGCAGAAGAACUAAGAAGAAUUACAGGUCAUGGGACGGGGUGGGAUUUCAGAACUUCCACAGACUUCCUCGAAAAGAGGAAAAAUACCUGCCUGCUUCCGAAUUCGGAAUUUUUGCGAGCUCCCCCGAGAACUCGAGGUGAGAAAGAGCACAGUGAGGACGCGGCUCAGCAUCCCGGCCGCGCGGGCUACGGGGGUGGCGGGUGGUCCGCGCCCGCGGCGGCCUCCCGGGAACCUCGAGCGCAGGGAGGUGGCCUCCGAGAGCCCGGCGGAGCAGAGGGCUCAGCUGGCCCCAGACACGCAGUUGGCAUUCGUGGUCAGCUGCCUCUCGCCCAGGGUCUUGCCAGGGGCCUAACCUUCCUGCCAGGGCGCCGCGCGGGCGGGGCGGAGGCCCGGGGCGGGAGGGGCGGCCUAACUGGAAGCUCAAAGUUUACCAAGGUUUACUGGGAUUUCUUUGUGCCCCGCCGGACGGGCGAGGGGUGAGGAGAGUCGGGGGUCCAUCAGAGGGGGCUGUGGGAAGAAGUUGCCUGGAGGGGUGCUCUGGCAGAUGCCCAGAGCUGGCGCGGGGACCGCUGCCGAGCGCGGCCCCCCCCAAAGCCUCCCCAAGCCUCCCGCCCCGCCGCGCCCCCGCCGCGCCCCCGCGCCCCCCACCCGACCGAGGCCCCGGCCCUCUUUUGCAUCCGGACUGGCUUUGGAUGCAGCCAAUCCUCCUGCCGCUGAUGGACUAGUCUCCCCUCCCCGCGGCCCGGGCGCGCCCCUCCCUCCCGCGCCUCGCCACCUCCCGCGGCAGACAGCGAGCGGCGCGGCCCGGAGCGGCGGCGGCGGCGGCGGCGGCGGCGCUCGAGUCUCUGCCCCGCACGCCGGGGAGAGGCGAGAGCGAGCGCGCUCCUCCUCCCGCGCCUUCCGCCCCCUCGCUCCCCCUCUCCCUGCUGCUCGCUCCCCUCCCUCCCUCCCUCCCUCCCUCCCUCCUUCUCUUCCUUCUUUCCGUGUCCCCCCUUUCCCCUUUUCCCUCUCCCCGUCCAUUCGUCUGUAAAUUCAGUUCUCCCCUCCG
rnacentral:lncRNA from 1 species